GACAGAGGGUGCAAACGUUGUUCGGAAUUACUGGGCAUAAAGAGCACGUAGGUGGUCCGCUAAGUCACGUGUGAAAUCCCCCGGCUCAACCGGGGAAUUGCGCGUGAUACUGGCGGACUCGAGGCGGGUAGGGGUGAGCGGAACUCCAGGUGGAGCGGUGAAAUGCGUAGAUAUCUGGAGGAACACCGGUGGCGAAAGCGGCUCACUGGACCCGAUCUGACACUGAGGUGCGAAAGCUAGGGUAGCAAACGGG
rnacentral:rRNA from 1 species